UACGGAGGGUGCAAGCGUUAUCCGGAUUUAUUGGGUUUAAAGGGUCCGUAGGCGGAUCUGUAAGUCAGUGGUGAAAUCUCAUAGCUUAACUAUGAAACUGCCAUUGAUACUGCAGGUCUUGAGUGAGAUUGAGGUAGCUGGAAUAAGUAGUGUAGCGGUGAAAUGCAUAGAUAUUACUUAGAACACCAAUUGCGAAGGCAGGUUACCAAUCUUAACUGACGCUGAUGGACGAAAGCGUGGGGGAGCGAACGAGGAAUU
rnacentral:rRNA from 1 species